rnacentral:rRNA from 1 species
CGGGUGGCUGCAGUGGGGAAUAUUGCACAAUGGACGAAAGUCUGAUGCAGCAACGCCGCGUGGAGGAUGACACAUUUCGGUGCGUAAACUCCUUUUAUAUGGGAAGAUAAUGACGGUACCAUAUGAAUAAGCACCGGCUAACUCCGUGCCAGCAGCCGCGGUAAUACGGAGGGUGCAAGCGUUACUCGGAAUCACUGGGCGUAAAGAGCGUGUAGGCGGGUAGUUAAGUCAGAAGUGAAAUCCAAUAGCUCAACUAUUGAACUGCUUUUGAAACUGAUUACCUAGAAUAUGGGAGAGGUAGAUGGAAUUUCUGGUGUAGGGGUAAAAUCCGUAGAGAUCAGAAGGAAUACCGAUUGCGAAGGCGAUCUACUGGAACAUUAUUGACGCUGAGACGCGAAAGCGUGGGGAGCAAACAGGAUUAGAUACCCGUGUAGUC